rnacentral:tRNA from 1 species
GAGACAUUAGUAAAUAUGCACAUUACAUUACCUUGUCAAGGUAAAAUCACAGGUUAGACCCCUGUAUGUCUUA